rnacentral:rRNA from 1 species
GUGAGGAAUUUUGCGCAAUGGCCGCAAGGCUGACGCAGCAACGCCGCGUGGGUGAUGAAGGCCUUCGGGUCGUAAAGCCCUGUCAGGUGGGAAGAAAGGCCUGGAGAGGAAAGGUUUCAGGUUUGACGGUACCACCAGAGGAAGCACCGGCUAACUCCGUGCCAGCAGCCGCGGUAAUACGGAGGGUGCGAGCGUUAUUCGGAAUUACUGGGCGUAAAGCGCGUGUAGGCGGGGGGACAAGUCUGAUGUGAAAGCCCUGGGCUUAACCUGGGAAGCGCAUUGGAAACUGUUUUUCUUGAGUACUGGAGAGGAAGGGGGAAUUCCCGGUGUAGAGGAGAAAUUCGUAGAGAUCGGGAGGAAUACCAGUGGCGUAGGCGCCCUUCUGGACGGUAACUGACGCUGAGACGCGAAAGCCAGGGUAGCGAACGGGAUUAGAUACCCUAGUAGUCC